rnacentral:rRNA from 1 species
AACGCUGGCGGCGUGCUUAACACAUGCAAGUCGAACGGAAAGGCCCUGCUUUUGUGGGGUGCUCGAGUGGCGAACGGGUGAGUAACACGUGAGUAACCUGCCCUUGACUUUGGGAUAACUUCGGGAAACUGGGGCUAAUACCGGAUAGGAGCUCCUGCUGCAUGGUGGGGGUUGGAAAGUUUCGGCGGUUGGGGAUGGACUCGCGGCUUAUCAGCUUGUUGGUGGGGUAGUGGCUUACCAAGGCUUUGACGGGUAGCCGGCCUGAGAGGGUGACCGGCCACAUUGGGACUGAGAUACGGCCCAGACUCCUACGGGAGGCAGCAGUGGGGAAUAUUGCACAAUGGGCGGAAGCCUGAUGCAGCAACGCCGCGUGCGGGAUGACGGCCUUCGGGUUGUAAACCGCUUUCGCCUGUGACGAAGCGUGAGUGACGGUAAUGGGUAAAGAAGCACCGGCUAACUACGUGCCAGCAGCCGCGGUGAUACGUAGGGUGCGAGCGUUGUCCGGAUUUAUUGGGCGUAAAGGGCUCGUAGGUGGUUGAUCGCGUCGGAAGUGUAAUCUUGGGGCUUAACCCUGAGCGUGCUUUCGAUACGGGUUGACUUGAGGAAGGUAGGGGAGAAUGGAAUUCCUGGUGGAGCGGUGGAAUGCGCAGAUAUCAGGAGGAACACCAGUGGCGAAGGCGGUUCUCUGGGCCUUUCCUGACGCUGAGGAGCGAAAGCGUGGGGAGCGAACAGGCUUAGAUACCCUGGUAGUCCACGCUGUAAACGGUGGGUACUAGGUGUGGGGUCCAUUCCACGGGUUCCGUGCCGUAGCUAACGCUUUAAGUACCCCGCCUGGGGAGUACGGCCGCAAGGCUAAAACUCAAAGGAAUUGACGGGGCCCCGCACAAGCGGCGGAGCAUGCGGAUUAAUUCGAUGCAACGCGUAGAACCUUACCUGGGUUUGACAUGGAUCGGGAGUGCUCAGAGAUGGGUGUGCCUCUUUUGGGGUCGGUUCACAGGUGGUGCAUGGCUGUCGUCAGCUCGUGUCGUGAGAUGUUGGGUUAAGUCCCGCAACGAGCGCAACCCUUGUUCACUGUUGCCAGCACGUUAUGGUGGGGACUCAGUGGAGACCGCCGGGGUCAACUCGGAGGAAGGUGGGGAUGACGUCAAGUCAUCAUGCCCCUUAUGUCCAGGGCUUCACGCAUGCUACAAUGGCUGGUACAGAGAGUGGCGAGCCUGUGAGGGUGAGCGAAUCUCGGAAAGCCGGUCUCAGUUCGGAUUGGGGUCUGCAACUCGACCUCAUGAAGUCGGAGUCGCUAGUAAUCGCAGAUCAGCAACGCUGCGGUGAAUACGUUCCCGGGGCUUGUACACACCGCCCGUCAAGUCAUGAAAGUUGGUAACACCCGAAGCCGGUGGCCUAACCGAUGUGGGGGAGCCGUCGAAGGUGGGACUGGUGAUU